CUGCCAGAGAGAUGUAUAAGCAUCUUGAGCUCCACUGGUAGAGUUAUGAGUUCUUGAAUUUAGAGGUUAUUAGAAGAAUUUUUUCCUACUGUUUUCAUGUAAAUUACCACUCAGGAAAAAAUGGUGGAAUAGAAUCUCUUUUUCCCUUUUAUAGUGUCUUUUUCAUUGCUUCCAAAUUUUUCAUAACUUUUCUACAGCUACCAAUACCAUCUUAUAUCAUCCAGACUGCCAUUGCAAUACACUCUUAACUCUUUCUAUGCUAGCACAUCCUAUACAUAGCAUUCAUUCAUUCAUUCGCUCACUUAGCAAACAUACCUGGUAGAGCCUGAACAUUCUAUUAGGCACUAGACAUAUUAAUGAGUUCAAAUAUCUUCUUCAGAUUCCCAUCACUUGUCAUAUAAAUGUCAAGGCCCAUUGCCUAUGAUUCAGAAACCUCUGCAUUUACUUAUUUCAACCUGCUUUGAUACCUUUAACCUACUUUUUCCUUUUUUUUCUUUCUUUUAAGAAAUAGGAUCUUGCAAUGUUACCCAGGAUAGAUUUUAACCCGUAGGCUCAAGGGAUCUUCCUGCCUCAGCCUCUUGGUUAGUUGGAACUAUAGGUGUAUGCUGCUGGCCCUGGCUCAACCUGCUUUUUAAUUCUUUCUCUCCCUACAUGGUAUUAUGAACUCUCAACUCCAGGUGGACCAAUCUCCUCUUGUGUCUGUGCCUUUGCUUUGGUGGUCCUCUUCUGGGUGUGCCCGCCUAUCUAGAUUUCACUUGUUCAAACCUAAUAUUCAGUGGGAAGUUCAGGUAUUACUGCUUUUGUGAAACUCCCCUGACAACAAAGGUUCAUAGGACCCUUGUUGUUUAAUAUCUGAAUUUAUAUAAUUAAAACUGCUAGUUAUCUUUUUAAGCAUAUAGGAAAACAACAAGAUUUCAAGAUACUUAAAUGAAAAGAGAGAAAGAUACUGGUUUAUCUGUUCUCUCACCCUCCAUAGCAUCUCAUACAGUCUUACUCAACAAAUGCUUGCCUAUUUAUUUUUUAAGCCACAUAAUAACACAUAAAAAUGGAAAGUGAUUCACUGUUGGGGUUAUUCCAGUAGUUUAUUGCUUCCCUCUUAUUUAUUUGUUUUUUGGAUGACUUCAGAUACCAACUUGGUUCAAACCCUUAUCAAAAAUGACCUUUCCAACUUGGCUCCUGUGGAGUCUUCAUCCUUCUUCUGUCAUUGCUAUAUAAAUACAGGAUUCCCUAGUCUAGUCUGGAGAGCACAGCAUCAGGUAGUGGAAAGAGCUGCAGCCUUGCACAGCAAACUAGAUUUGAGUUCUAAUUCUCCCUGAAAAUUGUUUGACUCUAGAAAUAGCUUGCCUCUCUGAACCUCAAGUCCCUCUUCUGUAAAGCAGAAUUAAUAAAACCCAUUGCAGGGCUGUUGUGAAAAUAAAAUGUGAUAAUAUAUGAAUAUAGUGCCUAUUUUGCUCACUUCACAGUAGAUGAUCGCUAAAUUAUAGCUAUUAUUUAUAUCGACCAUGAAUGCUAUAGUGUUCUGCCUCUUCUAGGGCUCUGGAAGAACCACUGAACUUACAGCGAUGCAUACCAGCCUACUAUGUAGUGGGCUCUCCCAAAUUGUAAUUUUGGGAGCUGUUCAGCAUGCAGACUCCUUCCUUGUUGGUACAGAGCCUCUUUUUCGUAGUAUGGUUGGAGAAUAGUGGCCUCUACUUAUCACAGAUGUCAGAGACUUUAAAUCCUCCCUCUUUUCAUCCCUAGGUUGAUAGAGUUUAGCAAAUGUCCAGAGUUUGGCCCAUUAUAUCCCUCUGCCACCUUGCCUCUGAGAUUUUGAAUCCUGACUGUGUGACUCUUGCUUCUGGGAUUUUGAAACCUGAGAGUAUGUCCCAAAGCUAAAUACUCACGUAAAAUUUAUUCACAGCUCAGGCAGCUGCAGUGGUGGUAUUCGGCUACAUUCUUCCUUCUUCCUACAAGAUCAUUGUUGAGCUUCCUCCUCUUUAAUCAUCCAGACUGCUACAGUUCUUGUUCUUCUAAGUUUCCUGUUGCUGAGAACCUCUGAUAAACUUCCAGUAAAUCACUAACCCUUCUUCCCCAAUUUUUCUCCCUAUGUUCUUGAAACCAAGAGCUCAGAGUGAUAUACUACAUGUCCCUGGUGCUUCAUUCAAUGACAGAGGAUCCAUGGUGCACUGUCCCACCCUUUGAUCUUGUCCCCAUGACUGACUGUAAGGCUUGGUGAAGUCUUCUGCUGUCAUCGUUGUUGUAUCAUAGUUUCCAGGGAAUCCUGGUUUUUAAGGAAUCCUGGAAUCCUGGAGCCAGAAAGAAUGUUGAGCUGCCCUCUAGCUAAGCCAUUGGCUUUCCAGUCACCUCCUGUCUAUUUUCACAGGAUGACAUUUCUCAACUUGAAUUGUUUCCAUGUUCCGGUUUUCCCCUCCUCCUUUAGAAGAAUGGCUCAACCAAUAAAAUUCUGGCACCUUCUCUUUUCAACACCUGAACAUGUUAUCAGGAGACACAAAUUCUCGUGUAACCUUUGCUGUCGAUAGUCGUUGUGUAAGCCAAUUCAUCUCUUCGUCCUUCAGUCUUCUCACCUAUAAACUAGGCUAAGUAGCAGCAGAGGGUCAUUUUGAGGGGAAAAUUAAAAAAUUGUCAUGGUGGAAUAUUUCAAAAACGAGACUGGAAGUAAUAAGCAGACGAUGCCCUGAAUAUUUUUCACAGACCAAUGAUCAUAAAAUGAAUGGUAACAACAUUAGGAAAGAUGGGGUGACUUUUGGGUUUAGCUAUUAGCCAUGGAGAAUUGUGCGUUGAGUGGCAGUGAGGGGCUGGGGGCUGAAUGAAAGCUACUGUUUUUCUAAUCAGGUAGUGACCUCUUCUGGGGAAAGAAAGAGUCUAGCAGAGCCUCAGCAUUAGGAGACAUGUGCAACGUUUGUACCAAGGCAACCAAUGAUAGAGAGGAUGGUCCCCCGAGGGAGAAGCUCUUGGGGUAGAUGUUUGCCCUGGGCAGCCAGGUGGAAAACAAAAAUAAAUGAAAUGAAACUAAAAAUCACUUUCUGGGUAGCUUUACCCAAAAGAGCUCUCAUUGAGAGAGCUAAUGAAACCUUGUGGACCUGUGUAUGCAUUGUGGUGAGGUUACCGUCCGCGCAAGCUGGCCAGAUUCAAGAACCCAAGAUUGAUUUUUAGGGUGAAUGGUUCAAAAAAGGUCCAGAUGGGAAACGUAUUUGUGUGCAUUCCUAUCUGGAAGGAAAAAGGACUCUUUCAGAGGGACAAACCAAAAUUCAAACGAAUAGUGAGGUCUAGAGUGGCGAGUGACUUUUGCCCAGUAGUCCUUUAGGUGGUAGGAAAGGGGCAAGUUCCUAUUGCAAUCUUGUCAGUUGAACUAGAGUAGUACAAACUGUAAAAGUUUUUUUUUUUUUUUUUCUCCCUCUACCAUACACCAGUAUAUUCAUCUGCUACUUAAAGGUCUUGGAAGGAGGAAGAAAGAAAACCUCCAGGAAGUCUUCUGGGUGACUUCAGCAACAAUUGCAUUACCCUUUUCCAGCAACCAGGAGUAAAACCCAAAGAGUUGCUGGCUGUUGGCUGGAAAUCAAACAAAACAAAGAAUUAAUUGGAGCUAAGGCUGUGGAAAGUGCCAGUCUGUGACAUGCAUGGAAGAAAGCAAGGAAAGCCUGGAGUGACCUGGAUUGCAUAGCAGAAAGAAAAAUCCCUGCAGGGGCAGUGUGAAAAGACUAGGGAGCUCCUGGAUUCCCUUCCAAACAUUUGUAACAUAGGAAGACUUUCCCAAUCUCUGAGGACUUUCUGUCUUCCCUCUUUCCAUCUGAGAUGCCUUUUCACCAGACUCUGGAACUUCUGCAUUCAGGGUCAUGUCUGAAGCCAAAGUCAGGUAUUAAAAACAUUCAGAUAUAAAAGUAAAGAUCUCAUUGAGACUAAGAGGAAGAUCACCUUUUGAGAGUCCCUCAAAAGUUCACUUUAUGUCCUACGAUAUAAAUGCCAUUCUAAAACAUAAAAAAUAUACUUGUUUACACUGUUGGUGGGAGUGUAAAUUAGUUCAACCCUUGUGGAACACAGUAUGGCAAUUCCUCAAAGACCUACAGGCAGAAAUACCAUUUGACCCAGAAAUCCCAUUACUGAG